rnacentral:rRNA from 1 species
AGAACGAACGCUGGCGGCAGGCCUAACACAUGCAAGUCGAACGCCCCGCAAGGGGAGUGGCAGACGGGUGAGUAACGCGUGGGAACAUACCUUUCGGUUCGGAAUAGCUCAGGGAAACUUGGAUUAAUACCGGAUACGUCCUUGGUUUAACGACUUUGGAGAAAGAUUUAUCGCCGAAAGAUUGGCCCGCGUCCGAUUAGCUAGUUGGUGAGGUAAUAGCUUACCAAGGCGACGAUCGGUAGCUGGUCUGAGAGGAUGAUCAGCCACACUGGGACUGAGACACGGCCCAGACUCCUACGGGAGGCAGCAGUGGGGGAUAUUGGACAAUGGGCGCAAGCCUGAUCCAGCCAUGCCGCGUGAGUGAUGAAGGCCCUAGGGUUGUAAAGCUCUUUCGUCAGGGACGAUAAUGACGGUACCUGAAGAAGAAGCCCGGCUAACUUCGUGCCAGCAGCCGC